AAGAAGAAGCAGCAGCAGAACAAGCCUUCAUCAUCGAAAUCGAAAUCGAAAUCCCAGACAUCCGCCGGUCCGAAGCUCCAGAUUUCCGCUGAGAACGAGAACCGCCUCCGCCGCCUCCUCCUCAACUCCGGCCGUUCCGGACCGGCCUCUUCUCCGGCUCCGGCUGACGACACUCUCUCCAAGGCGCAGAAGGCGAAGAAGCUUCGCUCUGUAUACGAGAAGCUCUCUUGCG
rnacentral:lncRNA from 1 species